GGGCCCGCACAAGCGGUGGAGCAUGUGGUUUAAUUCGAUGAUACGCGAGGAACCUUACCAGGGCUUAAAUGGGAGAUGACAGGGGCAGAGACGCCUUUUUCUUCGGACAUCUUUCAAGGUGCUGCAUGGUUGUCGUCAGCUCGUGCCGUGAGGUGUCAGGUUAAGUCCUAUAACGAGCGCAACCCCUACCGUUAGUUGCCAGCGAUUCAAGUCGGGGACUCUAACGGGACUGCCGGUGCAAACCGUGAGGAAGGUGGGGACGACGUCAAAUCAUCACGGCCCUUACGUCCUGGGCUACACACGUGCUACAAUGGUCGGUACAGAGGGAAGCUACCCCGCAAGGGGAUGCGGAUCUAUAAAACCGAUCUCAGUUCGGAUCGGGGUCUGCAACUCGACCCCGUGAAGCUGGAAUCGCUAGUAAUCGGAUAUC
rnacentral:rRNA from 1 species